AAUGCCGGUAAUCAACAUAUAGGAGUGAGACUGCGUGCGACAAGGUUCGCAAGUCAAGAGGGAAACAGCCCAGACCGUCAGCUAAGGUCCCGAAAUACUGCUUGAGUGUAAAAUGAAGUGUGGAUACAAAGACAGCCAGGAGGUUGGCUUAGAAGCAGCCAUUCCUUGAAAGA
rnacentral:rRNA from 1 species